GAUGAACGCUGGCGGCGUGCCUAAUACAUGCAAGUCGAGCGAACGGACGAGAAGCUUGCUUCUCUGAUGUUAGCGGCGGACGGGUGAGUAACACGUGGAUAACCUACCUAUAAGACUGGGAUAACUUCGGGAAACCGGAGCUAAUACCGGAUAAUAUUUUGAACCGCAUGGUUCAAAAGUGAAAGACGGUCUUGCUGUCACUUAUAGAUGGAUCCGCGCUGCAUUAGCUAGUUGGUAAGGUAACGGCUUACCAAGGCAACGAUGCAUAGCCGACCUGAGAGGGUGAUCGGCCACACUGGAACUGAGACACGGUCCACACUCCGACGGGAGGCAGCAGUAGGGAAUCUUCCGCAAUGGGCGAAAGCCUGACGGAGCAACGCCGCGUGAGUGAUGAAGGUCUUCGGAUCGUAAAACUCUGUUAUUAGGGAAGAACAUAUGUGUAAGUAACUGUGCACAUCUUGACGGUACCUAAUCAGAAAGCCACGGCUAACUACGUG
rnacentral:rRNA from 1 species